UCUUAGAAAAUUAUUAUUUAUUUUUAUUAAAUUAUUAUUUUUUUUAGUAUUUUGAAUAAAUUGAUUUUAUUAUAGAUAAUAAGUACCGUAGGGGAAUUUUGAAAUAGUUGAAAUAUUUUGGAUUUAAGAAGAAGAAUUAAUUUUUUGUACCUUGUGUAUCAGGGUUUAUAAAUUAUUUAAAAUAAAUUUUUUAUUCCCGAAUUUUAAGGAGCUAGGAGUUUAUAAAUUUUAAUGUGAAAUAAUUACUUAAAAUGGAUUUCUUGAAAUGAAAUGUUAGCCGUCUUAUAAUAUAUCUGGUUUUUUUAGAAAAAAAUUUAAUUUUGUUAGUUUUUUUUAUUUUUCUUUUUCUGAUUGAUAAUUAUUAAUUAAUAAAUAUUUUAAGGGAUUAGCUUUAAUUUAUAUUAUUAUAAAGUUUAUUUAAUUUGUAGUUUGUAGGAUUAAAAAUUUCCACCAUAAAAUUUGUUUUAAUUUUCUGCAUUUGUUUUUUUUAUUUUUUAAGCUUUUAAUUUUUUUAUAAAAAUGUUUUUUAUAAUUUUUUAUGAAAUUGAUAAUGAUUGAAUUAGUAAAAUUGAGAUUUAAAUUAUAAGAUUGAUUUAUGAGUUAAGAUAAAGGAACUCGGCAAAUCUAGUUUCCGCCUGUUUAUUAAAAACAUGUCUUUUUGAGUAUAAUUUAAAGUUUAAUCUGCCCUAUGAUGAGUUAAAUGGCCGCGAUAUUUUGAUCGUGCGAAGGUAGCAUAAUCAUUAGUUUUUUAAUUGAAAGCUUGUAUGAAGGAUUGGACGAGAAAAUAGCUGUCUCUAUUUUAUUUGUUGAAUUUUAUUUUUGAGUUAAAAAGCUUAAAUGGAUUUGAAGGACGAGAAGACCCUAUAGAGUUUAACAUUUAUUAAUUUUUUUUAAGUAUAGAUUAAAUUUUUGGAGGUUAAUUAAUGUUUAGUUGGGGUGACGGAAAAAUUUUUAUAACUUUUUCUUUUUGGUUAUAUUGAUAAAUAGGUUCUUGAUUUGGUAAGAAAUUAUAAGACAAAAUUACCUUAGGGAUAACAGCGUAAUUUUUCUUCAGAGUUCUUAUCGAAAGAAAAGAUUGCGACCUCGAUGUUGGAUUAAAGUAGGAUUUUGGUGCAGAAGCUGAAUUUCUUAGUCUGUUCGACUAUUAAAACUUUACAUGAUCUGAGUUUAAACCGGUGUGAGCCAGGUUGGUUUCUAUCCUCAAUAUUUUAAAAUAUUUUAGUACGAAAGGACCAAAUAUUAUUUAAAUUAAUUUAUUUUUGCUUAAUUUU
rnacentral:rRNA from 1 species